AUGCUGUCAGCGUCGUCGGAACGGGCAUCCGAGCGGACGUCGGAGAAGAUUCGCCGGGGUUAUAUCGUGUUGCCCCAUUUGCAAGGAGAUCGGCGGAGGAAGGCACUGUGGACGGCCGCAAAUUCGUUUGCGUCGGUAGCUUUGUCUUCUCACUAUGACUGGAUGCGUGGUCGUGGUUGUCUCAGAAACGAGGAUCGCAUCAACUUUUUCUUUUGUUUCAGUUAG